UCCGGUUGAUCCUGCCGGACCCGACUGCUAUCGGGGUGAGACUAAGCCAUGCGAGUCGUGCGCCCUCGGGCAUGCGAGGGCGCGGCGCACGGCUCAGUAACACGUAGCUAACCUGCCCUGAGGAGGGGGAUACCCCCGGGAAACUGGGGCUAAUCCCCCAUAGGUCUGGAUACCUGGAAUGGGUUCAGGCCCAAAUGGAUCUGCGCGCAUCCUGCGUAGGUCCGCCUCAGGAUGGGGCUGCGGCCCAUCAGGUAGUUGGCGGGGUAAAGGCCCACCAAGCCGAUAACGGGUGCGGGCUCUGGAAGGAGGAGCCCGGAGAUGGGCACUGAGACAAGGGCCCAGGUCCUACGGGGCGCAGCAGGCGCGAAACCUCCACAAUGCGGGAAACCGCGAUGGGGUUACCCCGAGUGUCGCCCGCUGAGGGCGACUUUUCUGGGGUCUAAAAAGCCCCAGGAAUAAGGGGAGGGCAAGUCUGGUGUCAGCCGCCGCGGUAAUACCAGCUCCCCGAGUGGUCGGGACGUUUAUUGGGCCUAAAGCGCCCGUAGCCGGCCCGGUGUGUCUCCCGUCAAAUCCGCCGGCUCAACCGGCGGACCGCGGGGGAUACUAUCGGGCUAGGGGGCGGGAGAGGUCGGGGGUACUCCCGGGGUAGGGGUAAAAUCCUCUGAUCCCGGGAAGACCACCGGUGGCGAAGGCGUCCGGCCAGAACGCGCCCGACGGUGAGGGGCGAAAGCUGGGGGAGCGAACCGGAUUAGAUACCCGGGUAGUCCCAGCUGUAAACGAUGCGGGCUAGGUGCUGGAGGGGCUACGGGCCCCUCCAGUGCCGCAGGGAAGCCGUUAAGCCCGCCGCCUGGGGAGUACGGCCGCAAGGCUGAAACUUAAAGGAAUUGGCGGGGGGGCACACAAGGGGUGAAGCCUGCGGUUCAAUUGGAGUCAACGCCGGG
rnacentral:rRNA from 1 species